rnacentral:rRNA from 1 species
UACGUAGGGGGCAAGCGUUGUCCGGAUUUAUUGGGCGUAAAGAGCGUGUAGGCGGCUUUACAGGUCCGUUGUGAAAACUCGAGGCUCAACCUCGAGACGCCGGUGGAAACCGUAAGGCUAGAGUCCGGAAGAGGAGAGUGGAAUUCCUGGUGUAGCGGUGAGAUGCGCAGAUAUCAGGAGGAACACCCGUGGCGAAAGCGGCUCUCUGGGACGGUACUGACGCUGAGACGCGAAAGCGUGGGGAGCAAACAGG